rnacentral:rRNA from 1 species
GACGAACCGUGCGAACGUUGUUCGGAAUCACUGGGCUUAAAGGGCGCGUAGGCGGGCUGCCAAGUCUGGGGUGAAUCCCACGGCUCAACCGUGGAACUGCCUCAGAUACUGGCGGCCUCGAGGAGGGUAGGGGCAUGCGGAACUAUGCGUGGAGCGGUGAAAUGCGUUGAUAUGCAUAGGAACUCCGGUGGCGAAGGCGGCGUGCUGGACCCUUUCUGACGCUGAGGCGCGGAAAGCGUGGGGAGCGAACGGG